rnacentral:rRNA from 1 species
CCCUUAGAUGUUCUGGGCUGCACGCGCGCUACACUGAAGCGUUCAACGAGUAUUCACCUUGCCCGGGAGGGUUGGGUAAUCUUUUGAAAACGCUUCGUGAUGGGGAUAGAUUAUUGCAAUUAUUAAUCUUCAACGAGGAAUUCCCAGUAAGCGCAAGUCAUAAGCUUGCGUUGAUUACGUCCCUGCCCUUUGUACACACCGCCCGUCGCUACUACCGAUUGAACGUUUUAGUGAGGUAUUUGGACUGGACCUUCGGAGGUUCGCGCCUCCGUUGCUGUUCGGGAAGACUCCCAAACUUGAGCGUUUAGAGGAAGUAAAAGUCGUAACA